AGUUAGUUGGCGGGGUAAAGGCCCACCAAGACUGUGAUCGAUAGCCGGCCUGAGAGGGCACACGGCCACACUGGCACUGAAACACGGGCCAGACUCCUACGGGAGGCAGCAGUGGGGAAUCUUGCACAAUGGGGGAAACCCUGAUGCAGCGACGCCGCGUGAGCGAUGAAGCCCCUCGGGGUGUAAAGCUCUUUCGGCAGGGAAGAUUAUGACGGUACCUGCAAAAGCAGCUGCGGCUAACUACGUGCCAGCAGCCGCGGUAAUACGUAGGCAGCAAGCGUUGUUCGGAGUUACUGGGCGUAAAGGGUGCGUAGGCGGCUUUUUAAGUUUGGUGUGAAAUCUCCCGGCUCAACUGGGAGGGUGCGCCGAAUACUGAGAGGCUAGAGUGUGGGAGAGGAAAGUGGAAUUCCUGGUGUAGCGGUGAAAUGCGUAGAUAUCAGGAGGAACACCGGUGGUGUAAACGGCUUUCUGGACCAUAACUGACGCUGAGGCACGAAAGCGUGGGUAGCAAACAGGAUUAGAUACCCUGGUAGUCCACGCCCUAAACGAUGCAUAUUUGGUGUGGGCCAUUCAUUUGGUCCGUGCCGGAGCUAACGCGUUAAAUAUGCCGCCUGGGGAGUACAGUCGCAAGGCUGAAACUCAAAGGAAUUGACGGGGGCCCGCACAAGCGGUGGAGCAUGUGGUUUAAUUCGACGCAACGCGAAGAACCUUACCUGGGCUCGAAAUGCUAUGGACCAGCUGGUGAAAGCCGGCCUUCCCGCAAGGGACUGUAGUAUAGGUGCUGCAUGGCUGUCGUCAGCUCGUGUCGUGAGAUGUUGGGUUAAGUCCCGCAACGAGCGCAACCCUUGUCCUGUGUUGCCAUCAUUCAGUUGGGAACUCGCAGGAGACCGCCAGGGAUAACCUGGAGGAAGGUGGGGAUGACGUCAAGUCCUCAUGGCCUUUAUGUCCAGGGCUACACACGUGCUACAAUGGACGGUACAAAGGGCUGCCAACCCGCAAGGGGGAGCCAAUCCCAAAAAAACCGUUCUCAGUUCGGAUUGCAGGCUGCAACUCGCCUGCAUGAAGCUGGAAUCGCUAGUAAUGGUGGAUCAGAACGCCACCGUGAAUACGUUCCCGGGCCUUGUACACACCGCCCGUCACAUCACGAAAGUGGGUUGUACUAGAAGUCCGCGCGCCGACCCGCAAGGGGGGCAGCGGCCCAAGGUGUGACUCAUGAUUGGGGUGAAGUCGAAACAAGGUAGCCGUAGGAGAACCUGCGGCUG
rnacentral:rRNA from 1 species